rnacentral:rRNA from 1 species
AUUGAACGCUGGCGGCAUGCCUUACACAUGCAAGUCGAACGGUAACGCGGGGCAACCUGGCGACGAGUGGCGAACGGGUGAGUAAUGUAUCGGAACGUGCCCAGUUGUGGGGGAUAACUGCUCGAAAGAGCAGCUAAUACCGCAUACGACCUGAGGGUGAAAGCGGGGGAUCGCAAGACCUCGCGCAAUUGGAGCGGCCGAUAUCAGAUUAGGUAGUUGGUGAGGUAAAGGCUCACCAAGCCGACGAUCUGUAGCUGGUCUGAGAGGACGACCAGCCACACUGGGACUGAGACACGGCCCAGACUCCUACGGGAGGCAGCAGUGGGGAAUUUUGGACAAUGGACGCAAGUCUGAUCCAGCCAUGCCGCGUGCGGGAAGAAGGCCUUCGGGUUGUAAACCGCUUUUGUCAGGGAAGAAACGCUCUGGGUUAAUACCUCGGGGUAAUGACGGUACCUGAAGAAUAAGCACCGGCUAACUACGUGCCAGCAGCCGCGGUAACAC